rnacentral:rRNA from 1 species
GACGAACGCUGGCGGCGUGCUUAACACAUGCAAGUCGAACGGAAAGGCCCUGCUUUUGUGGGGUGCUCGAGUGGCGAACGGGUGAGUAACACGUGAGUAACCUGCCCUUGACUGUGGGAUAACUUCAGGAAACUGGGGCUAAUACCGGAUAGGAGCUCCUGCUGCAUGGUGGGGGUUGGAAAGUUUCGGCGGUUGGGGAUGGACUCGCGGCUUAUCAGCUUGUUGGUGGUGGAGUGGCUUACCAAGGCUUUGACGGGUAGCCGGCCUGAGAGGGUGACCGGCCACAUUGGGACUGCGAUACGGCCCCGACUCCUACGGGAGGCAGCAGUGGGGAAUAUUGCACAAUGGGCGGAAGCCUGAUGCAGCAACGCCGCGUGCGGGAUGACGGCCUUCGGGUUGUAAACCGCUUUCGCCUGUGACGAAGCGUGAGUGACGGUAAUGGGUAAAGAAGCACCGGCUAACUACGUG